UACGUAUGGGGCAAGCGUUGUUCGGAAUCAUUGGGCGUAAAGGGCGUGUAGGCGGUUCUGCAAGCUUGGUGUGAAAUAUCUCGGCUUAACCGAGAGGGUGCGCUGAGAACUGCAGGACUUGAGUUUUUGGGGGGAAGCUGGAAUUCCAGGUGUAGGAGUGAAAUCUGUAGAUAUCUGGAAGAACACCGAUGGCGAAGGCAAGCUUCUAUCAAAAGACUGACGCUGAGGCGCGAAAGCGUGGGGAGCAAACAGG
rnacentral:rRNA from 1 species